rnacentral:rRNA from 1 species
CCAAGGGAUUGGCAAGGUUGGCUCUACGGGAGGCACAGUUGGAUAUGAACAAUGGUCAACUUAGCAGCAUUUGGUGGGAAGAAGCCUUCGGGUUAAGUAUUUAGGGGGGGAAGGGUUUUGGUUAUACUCAGAAUUGCGGUCCCAGAAGAAAAUAUGCUAAUCCGUGCCAGCAGCGGGUAAAACGGAGGGGCAAGCGUUAUCGGGAUUACUGGGCGUAAAGCGCCCGCAGGCGGUCUGUCAAGUCGGAUGAGAAAUCCCCGGGCUUAUCCUGGGAACUGCAUUCGAAACUGGCAGGCUAGAGUCUUGUAGAGGGGGGUAGAAUUCCAGGUGUAGCGGUGAAAUGCGUAGAGAUCUGGAGGAAUACCGGUUGKCGAAKGCGGCCCCCUGGACAAAGAYUGACGCUCAGGUGCGAAAAGCGUGGGGAGCAAACAGAAWWARAWAGSYCUKGUAGUCCACGYCGWAAACGWUGUCUGACUAGGAGGAUGUKCCCYYGAGGCSUGGCYUCCGGAGCUAACUCGCCUUAAKUCGACCGCCUSCSCGGAGUACGGCCGCAAGGUUAAAACUCAAAUGAAUUGACGGGGGCCCCCACAAGCGGUGGAGCAUGUGGUUUAUUCUUGCAACGCGAAAACCUUACCUACUCUUGACAUCCUAAGAACUUCCAAGAUGGUUUGGUGCCUUUGAACUCAAACAGGUGCUGAUGGUGUCGUCGCUCCUGUUGUAAAUGUUGGGUUAAAUCCCCCACUACGCAACCCUAUCCUUUUGUUGCCACCGGUCCUGCCGGGAACUCCAAGAAACUGCCUGUAAUAACUGGAGGAAGGUGGGGAUGACUACAGUCUCUUGGCCUUACAAUAGGGUUACCCUCAUUUUUUUGGUCUUUCAUAAA